UGUGAUACAAAUAUUUUCUUCUCUUUCUUGACCAUUGAAGGCACAGGACAGAUGGACUUUCCUGAGCCACAGUAGUUUGCAACCCUGGUGAUGACCUGAGACCUUGUUUUCCACGGGUGCUGUUACACUGCUAUUGGAAGAACACCAGGAGAGGCUCAGCUUCUUAACAGACUGUCAGCGUAAGGCUUUCUCCUGGGCAUGAGACAGUGGCCAAGAUACAUACAGAGGCACAUUGGAAAUGCAGUAGAAAAUGGCUGCAGAUUUAAAACCAGAAGUUAAGAAGAGUGAACCCGAAUGUAUAGCAAGAGAGCUUCAGGCUGGACUGGCUUCCAGCAGAAGUGGGACUGGAAACCUUGGAUUCUGUUGCCUCUUCUCUGUGACGUGGGAAAACAUGUUUCAUGGCAUGAUAUGACUCAAUCCACAGACGAAGGCUGCUGAGCCCGGGACAGCUUAUGGGACCAGCCCAUAUGAGAAGCACAAAUGUACAGAAACAAACUGAACCCAAGGAAAGAUUGGUGAUACUUUGGGAGGGAUGACAGAGGAAGGGGAAACACAUUGUCCAUCCCUGUCCCAGCAAGGAGCCAGCUCCCAUUCAGCAGUCUCUGUGAACAUCUAGGUAGCUUCCGCAUUCUUUCUGUCCAGUUGUGAGCAGCCACCAACUAUGAUUCCCCUUUUCCAGCAGGCUUUGCUUUCACAUCACAAAGCAUCAUCCUGAGAAACAAUUACAGUUCUUUUUAGAGUUCUGUUUCCUUCACAGGUAUCUAUUGUCCUAAUAAAUGGAAUUCC
rnacentral:lncRNA from 1 species